rnacentral:lncRNA from 1 species
GUGGCUUUAAAAUGAAAGGCUGAGCGAAGAGGCUAAAAAUAGGGUAGCGCGAGCUGCCGGCUGAGCGCAGGGGGCCGCUCGGUUACGUAAGGGCCCCCCGCGGCUGGGAAGGGGGCACGGCGCUGCCCGUUCCUGAGCCGUCUCUCUCCGGGGCUAAGAUGGGAGGAACUGAG